UUGACCUCAAAUCAGGUAGGACUACCCGCUGAACUUAAGCAUAUCAAUAAGCGGAGGAAAAGAAACUAACAAGGAUUCCCCUAGUAACUGCGAGUGAAGAGGGAAAAGCUCAAAUUUAAAAUCUGGCAGCUUCGCUGUCCGAGUUGUAA
rnacentral:rRNA from 1 species